rnacentral:rRNA from 1 species
AAGGUACUCAAGAGCACACAAUGAAUGCCUAGACGUAUAAUACCGAUGAAGGACGUGGAAGACUGCGAAAAGUCUUGGGGAGCUGUCAACAAGCUUUGAUCCAGGAAUAUCCGAAUGGGGAAACCCAAUACGAGUCAUGUCGUAUUAUCUGCUUCUGAAUAUAUAGGAAGUUUGACGGGAACCGACUGAACUGAAACAUCUUAGUAGGUCGAGGAAUAGAAAAUAAAUAAUGAUUCUCGGAGUAGUGGCGAGCGAAACGGGAUCAGCCCAAACCUUUUUCAUUUUUGCCUGGUAAUUUAUUACUGGGUAAAUAAGUUUUCAGACGAAUAUGAAUAAGGGGUUGUGACAUUACACAAGACCAUAUCAGACACCUGAAGUUCGCUUCAGGCAUCUGAUGUGCGAUCAUGAACUGAAAAUAGUGAGUAAAGUAAGAAAACUUUGUAGUUAGCGGAAUAGUUUGAAUGACUAGCCAAAGAGCGUGAAAGCCGCGUAUGCGAAAACUACAUAGACUUUAUAUGUGUUUUGUCGAGUAGGUCGGGGCACGAGAAACCCUGAUUGAAUCCGGCAGGACCACCUGCCAAGGCUAAAUAUAUUAUGCGAUCGAUAGUGAACUAGUACCGUGAGGGAAAGGUGAAAAGAACCCCGGGAGGGGAGUGAAAUAGAUCCUGAAAUUGUGUGCUUACAAGGAGUCGGAGCGGAUUUAUUCCGUGACGGCGUGCUUUUUGUAGAACGAUCCAGCGAGUUAAUUUCUAGUGCAAGGUUAAGUCAAGUGACGGAGCCACAGUGAAAGCGAGCCUGAAUAGGGCGAUUUAGUACUAGGAAUUAGACCCGAAACCGGGUGACCUAACCAUGAGCAGGUUGAAGCUACUGUAAUAGGUAGUGAAGGACCGAACCGUCGUACGCAGCAAAGUGCUCGGAUGACUUGUGGUUAGAGGUGAAAUGCCAAUCGAACCCGGAGAUAGCUGGUUCUCCUCGAAAUAGCUUUAGGGCUAGCGUCAAUUAAUUAGCACACGGGGGUAGAGCUCUGUAAAGGACUGGGGGGUGCAAACCUACCCACCCUUAACAAACUACGAAUACCGUGUGUGGUAUCUUGGCAGUUAGAACGUCGGGGCUAAGCUCGGCGCUCGAAAGGGAAACAGCCCAGACCAUCGUCUAAGGUCCCUAAAUAUAUACUCAGUGGGAAACAAGGUGAGAUUUCUUAAACAGCUAGGAUGUUGGCUUAGAAGCAGCCAUUCAUUUAAAGAGUGCGUAACAGCUCACUAGUCAAGAGAUCUUGCGUGGAAAAUGUAAC